AGCUUUAACCCAGUGUCAGCAAUUUUAUUUCAUUAGAGGAAGGAGUGGAGGAAGGUACCAAAUAGCAGCAAACUUUAAACAGUUUUGCCUCUUGAACUUUUUCAGUUUGCUUCAUCCUCUGAGGAAGGUAAUCACUUGACUUUCUCACUUCACAUCUUUUAAGUGAAAGAACAGCAACCAGGCAGG
rnacentral:other from 1 species